UAGGGAAUCUUCGGCAAUGGACGGAAGUCUGACCGAGCAACGCCGCGUGAGUGAAGAAGGUUUUCGGAUCGUAAAGCUCUGUUGUAAGAGAAGAACGAGUGUGAGAGUGGAAAGUCCACACUGUGACGGUAUCUUACCAGAAAGGGACGGCUAACUACGUGCCAGCAGCCGCGGUAAUACGUAGGUCCCGAGCGUUGUCCGGAUUUAUUGGGCGUAAAGCGAGCGCAGGCGGUUAGAUAAGUCUGAAGUUAAAGGCUGUGGCUUAACCAUAGUAGGCUUUGGAAACUGUUUAACUUGAGUGCAAGAGGGGAGAGUGGAAUUCCAUGUGUAGCGGUGAAAUGCGUAGAUAUAUGGAGGAACACCGGUGGCGAAAGCGGCUCUCUGGCUUGUAACUGACGCUGAGGCUCGAAAGCGUGGGGAGCAAACAGGAUUAGAUACCCUGGUAGUCCACGCUGUAAACGAUGAGUGCUAGGUGUUAGACCCUUUCCGGGGUUUAGUGCCGUAGCUAACGCAUUAAGCACUCCGCCUGGGGAGUACGACCGCAAGGUUG
rnacentral:rRNA from 1 species